rnacentral:rRNA from 1 species
CCUACGGGCGGCAGCAGUGAGGAAUAUUGGUCAAUGGACGGAAGUCUGAACCAGCCAUGUCGCGUGCAGGAUGACGGCUCUAUGAGUUGUAAACCUCUUUUGUCCGAGAGCAAUGGUUCUCACGUGUAGGGCUUUGAGUGUAUCGUACGAAAAAGGAUCGGCUAACUCCGUGCCAGCAGCCGCGGUAAUACGGAGGAUUCGAGCGUUAUCCGGCUUUAUUGGGUUUAAAGGGUGCGUAGGCUGUUGGAUAAGUUAGAGGUCAAAUGUCGGGGCUUAACCCCGUUCCUGCCUUUGAUACUGUUGGACUAGAGAGAGCAUGAAGCAGGCGGAAUGAGUAGUGUAGCGGUGAAAUGCAUAGAUAUUACUCAGAACACCGAUUGCGAAGGCAGCAUGC